UACGAAGGGGGCUAGCGUUGCUCGGAAUCACUGGGCGUAAAGGGUGCGUAGGCGGGUUUUUAAGUCAGGGGUGAAAUCCUGGAGCUCAACUCCAGAACUGCCUUUGAUACUGAAGAUCUUGAGUUCGGGAGAGGUGAGUGGAACUGCGAGUGUAGAGGUGAAAUUCGUAGAUAUUCGCAAGAACACCAGUGGCGAAGGCGGCUCACUGGCCCGAUACUGACGCUGAGGCACGAAAGCGUUGGGAGCAAACAGG
rnacentral:rRNA from 1 species